rnacentral:rRNA from 1 species
UCGCACGGUACAAGUACGCUGCUUGCUCUUCGAUGACGAGCUGGCGGACGGGUGAGUAAUGCUUGGGAACUUGCCUUUGCGAGGGGGAUAACAGUUGGAAACGACUGCUAAUACCGCAUAAUGUCUUCGGACCAAACGGGGCUUCAGCUCCGGCGCAAAUAGAGGCCCCAGUGAGAUUACCUAGUUGGUAAGGUGACGGCUUACCAAGGCGACGAUCUCUUGCUGUUCUGAGAGGAACAUCAGCCACACUGGGACUGAGACACGGCCCAGACUCCUACGGGAGGCAGCAGUGGGGAAUAUUGCACAAUGGGGGAAACCCUGAUGCGCCAUGCCGCGUGUGUGAAGAAGGCCUUCGGGUUGUAAAGCACUUUCAGUUGUGAGGAAAAGUUAUGAGUUAAUACCUGCUAGCCGUGACGUUGACAACAGAAGAAGCACCGGCUAACUCCGUGCCAUCCUCCGCGGGAAUACUGAGGGUGCGAGCGUUAAUCGGAAUUACUGGGCGUAAAGCGCACGCAGGCGGUGUGUUAAGCUAGAUGUGAAAGCCCCAGGCUCAACCUGGGAUGGUCAUUUACAACUGGCACACUAUAGUCUUGGAGAGGGGAGUGGAAUUCCAUGUGUAGCGGUGAAAUGCGUAGAUAUCUGGUAGGAACAUGAAUGGCGAAGGCGACUCCUCUGGGCCAAGAACUGACGCUCAUGUGCGAAAAUGUGGGUAGCGUAGCACGGAUUAGAUACC